UUGACCCUCAAUAGGUA
rnacentral:rRNA from 1 species